rnacentral:rRNA from 1 species
CGCGUAGGCGGUUUGAUAAGUCAGAUGUGAUAGCCCACGGCUUAACUGUGGAAGUGCAUUUGAAACUGUCAGACUUGAGUAUCAGAGGGGAAAGUGGAAUUCCCGGUGUAGAGGUGAAAUUCGUAGAUAUCGGGAGGAAUACCGGUGGCGAAGGCGACUUUCUGGCUGAAUACUGACGCUGAGGCGCGAAAGCGUGGGGAGCAAACA